AAGGACUGGUGGAGUGCUUAGAAGUGAGAAUGCCGGUAUGAGUAGCGAAAGACGGGUGAGAAUCCCGUCCACCGAAUGCCUAAGGUUUCCUGAGGAAGGCUCGUCCGCUCAGGGUUAGUCAGGACCUAAGCCGAGGCCGACAGGCGUAGGCGAUGGACAACAGGUUGAUAUUCCUGUACCACCUCUUUAUCGUUUGAGCAAUGGAGGGACGCAGAAGGAUAGAAGAAGCGUGCGAUUGGUUGUGCACGUCCAAGCAGUUAGGCUGAUAAGUAGGCAAAUCCGCUUAUCGUGAAGGCUGAGCUGUGAUGGGGAAGCUCCUUAUGGAGCGAAGUCUUUGAUUCCCCGCUGCCAAGAAAAGCUUCUAGCGAGAUAAAAGGUGCCUGUACCGCAAACCGACACAGGUAGGCGAGGAGAGAAUCCUAAGGUGUGCGAGAGAACUCUGGUUAAGGAACUCGGCAAAAUGACCCCGUAACUUCGGGAGAAGGGGUGCUUUCUUAACGGAAAGCCGCAGUGAAUAGGCCCAAGCGACUGUUUAGCAAAAACACAGCUCUCUGCGAAGCCGUAAGGCGAAGUAUAGGGGGUGACACCUGCCCGGUGCUGGAAGGUUAAGGAGAGGGGUUAGCGUAAGCGAAGCUCUGAACUGAAGCCCCAGUAAACGGCGGCCGUAACUAUAACGGUCCUAAGGUAGCGAAAUUCCUUGUCGGGUAAGUUCCGACCCGCACGAAAGGUGUAACGAUUUGGGCACUGUCUCAACCAGAGACUCGGUGAAAUUAUAGUACCUGUGAAGAUGCAGGUUACCCGCGACAGGACGGAAAGACCCCGUGGAGCUUUACUGUAGCCUGAUAUUGAAUUUUGGUACAGUUUGUACAGGAUAGGCGGGAGCCAUUGAAACCGGAGCGCUAGCUUCGGUGGAGGCGCUGGUGGGAUACCGCCCUGACUGUAUUGAAAUUCUAACCUACGGGUCUUAUCGACCCGGGAGACAGUGUCAGGUGGGCAGUUUGACUGGGGCGGUCGCCUCCUAAAGUGUAACGGAGGCGCCCAAAGGUUCCCUCAGAAUGGUUGGAAAUCAUUCGUAGAGUGCAAAGGCAUAAGGGAGCUUGACUGCGAGACCUACAAGUCGAGCAGGGACGAAAGUCGGGCUUAGUGAUCCGGUGGUUCCGCAUGGAAGGGCCAUCGCUCAACGGAUAAAAGCUACCCCGGGGAUAACAGGCUUAUCUCCCCCAAGAGUCCACAUCGACGGGGAGGUUUGGCACCUCGAUGUCGGCUCAUCGCAUCCUGGGGCUGUAGUCGGUCCCAAGGGUUGGGCUGUUCGCCCAUUAAAGCGGUACGCGAGCUGGGUUCAGAACGUCGUGAGACAGUUCGGUCCCUAUCCGUCGUGGGCGUAGGAAAUUUGAGAGGAGCUGUCCUUAGUACGAGAGGACCGGGAUGGACGCACCGCUGGUGUACCAGUUGUUCUGCCAAGGGCAUAGCUGGGUAGCUAUGUGCGGAAGGGAUAAGUGCUGAAAGCAUCUAAGCAUGAAGCCCCCCUCAAGAUGAGAUUUCCCAUAGCGUAAGCUAGUAAGAUCCCUGAAAGAUGAUCAGGUUGAUAGGUUCGAGGUGGAAGCAUGGUGACAUGUGGAGCUGACGAAUACUAAUAGAUCGAGGACUUAACCAU
rnacentral:rRNA from 2 species